CGCGACUGUCCGGUACCUCACCGCGGCACGUCCAAACCGUAGAUUAGCAUCGUUCCGUGAACGAGCGCGAUGAUGCGUCGCGUCGCGAGCUCGAUCCUGCGCGCCCAAGCGAGGAAUGGCGUCCGCGCGUCCAACUUUCGCUUCGCCCCCUCCGCGCUCACGACGGAGGGUUUCAAGGCCCCCGACGCGAUCGCGCGCGCGUUCGGGACCUCCGCGCCCGUCGCCGCGAUGGGCGCGCAGGAGCUCUCCUCGCUCCUCGAGGAGAGGAUCUCCGGGCACUACUCCGCGCUCGACAUGGCGGAAAUUGGGUGCGUGAACCGCCGAUCGCCCGACGCGGAUCCCCCGCCCGUCCGUUCGCCCUCGACCGAUCUUGAAGCGUCCGUUCGCGAAGAAGGAAAGAUCCGACCGCGUUCGUCCUCCGAUCGGUCGAUCGACGCCGCGCCGCGCCAACACGCUGACGACGCCCCCUUCCCCCCGCGCGCGCUCCCCCCCGUCCCUCUCCCCCAGCCGC
rnacentral:lncRNA from 1 species